rnacentral:rRNA from 1 species
GAUGAACGCUGACAGAAUGCUUAACACAUGCAAGUCAUUGGCGAAGCUGCGCUUGCGCAGUCUAGCCAAGGCGGACGGGUGAGUAACGCGUAAGGAACUUGCCCUGCAGACAGGGAUAACAGACGGAAACGACUGAUAACACCUGGUAUUGUCAGGCUGGCGCAUGCCGGCCUGAUGAAAGGAGACGCUGCAGGAGAGCCUUGCGUCCUAUUAGCUAGUUGGUGGGGUAACGGCCCACCAAGGCGAUGAUAGGUAGCCGGCCUGAGGGGGUGAACGGCCACAAGGGGACUGAGAUACGGCCCUGACUCCUACGGGAGGCAGCAGUGGGGAAUAUUGGACAAUGGGGGCAACCCUGAUCCAGCAAUUCUGUGUGCACGAAGAAGGUUUUCGGAGUGUAAAGGGCUUUCAGCAGGGAAGAAGAAAGUGACGGUACCUGCAGAAGAAGCGACGGCUAAAUACGUG